CUCCGAGUUAUCUCUCUGAUCUCAACCCUAACCUUUUUAAAUGAUCAGCUGGGAAGGAAGAAGAUAUCAGAGUUUUGAACUAGAAGGAGCAAGCUUCAAGGACAAGUGUUAAAAUGAGAAUUCUUUGAAUCAGUUCUUGGGAAAUUAAGCUAGGGAACAGAUAAUGGUAGAUCCUAAGGAUGACUUCUGGGCAUGAGAAACCAAGAAUUUGUGAAGGGAAAACAAGAACCAGACAUGAGGAGAUAAAGACUUGAGCAGCUGGAGUAUUGGAUCAUUUGCCUGCUAUCCCAGCACUUGAAAGCAUCCAGGACCAUGGAAAGAACUGAGGUGGGAGAAAACGGACUUGGAAGGCUUCCAGGAAGCAAUGGGGAAACCAAUGGAUGACAGUAUCAGAAAGGUGUGCAGGGUACUUCCUGGGCCAUUGCAAGGGCAUUUGCUGCUGGAGAGUCAUCUUUUACCACUAGCAAAAGAAACGGAAUUCACAUCAGAGAAAACCCCCUCUCAGAUUCCAGCCCCAGAGAACCACAGAUCAUCGGUUACACAGCUAAGUUUGACCGGCGCAGAAAUGCCAUAUAAAUGAAGACAUAAAGUGUACUUUUUUUUGGUGUAUGGCUUUGUUUGCAUCCCUGUACUCUUGGGACCUGUUCCUGCAGGCUGGUUUUCUAACUUACAGAAUGAGAAUGAGCAUUCCAGAUAAGAGCAACAGUUGUGCAGAGUAAAUGUAAGGCACCCAUUCUUCAAAAAUGAUACUGUCCCCGACUGGCUAUAGCCUCGGCUGUGAUCCACUUCCGAAUUCUGUGAGAUGCCUCUUGUUCUCAAGACCAUGGUGAAAUUGCUGAAGCCCUGUGUUGCCUCGCUGUCAGUGUCACACCUUAGCAAGCAGCUCUGCCUGGAUUCUCUGCACUUGCCUUUGGUUGGUUGGAGGUGUGUGGGCGGGGUUGGGGGCGGUCUCUUGCUCUAGCUACCUUCAGAAGCUUCAAAAACUUUAUGAAGCCACACCCGACUUUUCCUACUCUGCUGCUCAAUUAUCAGAUCCCAGCUUCUCUGGUUCUGACUUACUAGGGUGCCAGGACAGUUACAAGUCUGAGAGACUGCAGACAAUCUAACUCUUCCUGGUCUUUCCAGGCACCGCCCCCGCUUAGGGUUAAGGGACCACUUCCUUCCUAUCCUAACCAGCCAGCUGGCCUUAGACAGCUCUGAGCCCUUCGCUGAAACAGACCCUUCCACCUUCUUUCCUUAGAAGGCAGCAGGAGUCCCAGGUUUCUGGGGACUUGGGCUGUCUUUGCUCCUCCCCUCUGGGGCAGAGACUGGGGGUGGAGGGCAGUGCUUUAGUGCAGUGUUGUCAUAGUUAAGCAAUUUCACUUUCCUUUUUCUCCUCUUUGGAGGCCCCUGAAGGAGUUC